rnacentral:rRNA from 1 species
AGCUUGCUCCCUGAUGUUAGCGGCGGACGGGUGAGUAACACGUGGGUAACCUGCCUGUAAGACUGGGAUAACUCCGGGAAACCGGGGCUAAUACCGGAUGGUUGUUUGAACCGCAUGGUUCAGACAUAAAAGGUGGCUUCGGCUACCACUUACAGAUGGACCCGCGGCGCAUUAGCUAGUUGGUGAGGUAACGGCUCACCAAGGCGACGAUGCGUAGCCGACCUGAGAGGGUGAUCGGCCACACUGGGACUGAGACACGGCCCAGACUCCUACGGGAGGCAGCAGUAGGGAAUCUUCCGCAAUGGACGAAAGUCUGACGGAGCAACGCCGCGUGAGUGAUGAAGGUUUUCGGAUCGUAAAGCUCUGUUGUUAGGGAAGAACAAGUGCCGUUCAAAUAGGGCGGCACCUUGACGGUACCUAACCAGAAAGCCACGGCUAACUACGUGCCAGCAGCCGCGGUAAUACGUAGGUGGCAAGCGUUGUCCGGAAUUAUUGGGCGUAAAGGGCUCGCAGGCGGUUUCUUAAGUCUGAUGUGAAAGCCCCCGGCUCAACCGGGGAGGGUCAUUGGAAACUGGGGAACUUGAGUGCAGAAGAGGAGAGUGGAAUUCCACGUGUAGCGG